AUUGAACGCUGGCGGCAGGCCUAACACAUGCAAGUCGAGCGGGUAACAUUUCUAGCUUGCUAGGAGGCGUCGAGCGGCGGACGGGUGAGUAACGCGUGAGAAUCUACCCAUGAGUGGGGGACAACCCGGGGGAAACUCGGGCUAAUACCGCAUACGCCCUACGGGGUAAAGCAGGGGACCUUCGGGCCUUGCGCUGAUGGAUGAGCUCGCGUCGGAUUAGCUUGUUGGUGAGGUAAAGGCUCACCAAGGCGACGAUCCGUAGCUGGUCUGAGAGGAUGAUCAGCCACACCGGGACUGAGACACGGCCCGGACUCCUACGGGAGGCAGCAGUGGGGAAUCUUGGACAAUGGGGGCAACCCUGAUCCAGCCAUGCCGCGUGUGUGAAGAAGGCCUUCGGGUUGUAAAGCACUUUCAGCAGGGAGGAAGGCUUGCCCCUAAUACGGGUGAGUACUUGACGUUACCUGCAGAAGAAGCACCGGCUAAUUUCGUG
rnacentral:rRNA from 1 species